AUUGAACGCUGGCGGCAGGCCUAACACAUGCAAGUCGAACGAGUGGCGGACGGCUGAGUAAUGCUCGGGACCCCAGGUUAUGGAGGGGGAUAACUACGGGAAACUGUAGCCACUACCGCUCACUACAGGCUGAUCGCAAGUGGGAUGAGGUAGGUGGUGAGGCAAAGGCUCACGAAGCAGACGAUCUGUUGCUGGUCUGAGAGGAUGACCGGCCCCACUGGGACUGAGACACGGCCCCGACUCCUACGGUAGGCAGCAGUGGGUAAUAUUGCGCAAUGGGGGCAACCUGACGCAGCCAUGCCGCGUGGAUGAAUAAGGCCUUCGGGUUGUAAAGUUCUUUCGGUAUCGAGGCGUUAACUACAGAAGAAGCACCGGCUAACUCCGUGCCAGCAGCCGCGGUAAUUC
rnacentral:rRNA from 1 species